GGUUAAGUGACUAAGCGUACACGGUGGAUGCCUUGGCAGUCAGAGGCGAUGAAAGACGUAGUAACUUGCGAUAAGCCCAGAUUAGGUAGUAACAACCAUUUGAGUCUGGGAUUUCUGAAUGGGGAAACCCACGUGCAUAAGCACGUAUCCUUACCUGAAUACAUAGGGUAAGGAGGCGAACCGGGGAACUGAAACAUCUAAGUACCCCGAGGAAAAGAAAUCAACCGAGAUUCCGAAAGUAGCGGCGAGCGAAAUUGGACUAGCCCUUAAGCUUUACACGCGUUAGACGAACGGUCUGGAAAGUCCGACGAUACAGGGUGAUAGUCCCGUAGUUGACGACGUGUGUUCAGUGAAAUCGAGUAGGGCGGGACACGUGAUAUCCUGUCUGAAUAUGGGGGACCAUCCUCCAAGGCUAAAUACUACUGACUGACCGAUAGUGAACCAGUACCGUGAGGGAAAGGCGAAAAGAACCCCUGUGAGGGGAGUGAAAUAGAACCUGAAACCGUGUACGUACAAGCAGUAGGAGCAGGCUUUGUCCUGUGACUGCGUACCUUUUGUAUAAUGGGUCAGCGACUUAUAUUCAGUGGCAAGGUUAACCAUCUAGGGAGCCGUAGGGAAACCGAGUCUUAACUGGGCGUUCAGUCUCUGGAUAUAGACCCGAAACCAGGUGAUCUAGCCAUGGGCAGGUUGAAGGUUGAGUAACAUCAACUGGAGGACCGAACCGACUAAUGUUGAAAAAUUAGCGGAUGACUUGUGGCUAGGGGUGAAAGGCCAAUCAAACCUGGAGAUAGCUGGUUCUCCCCGAAAGCUAUUUAGGUAGCGCCUCGGACGAAUACUACUGGGGGUAGAGCACUGUUAAGGCUAGGGGGUCAUCCCGACUUACCAACCCUUUGCAAACUCCGAAUACCAGUAAGUACUAUCCGGGAGACACACGGCGGGUGCUAACGUCCGUCGUGGAGAGGGAAACAACCCAGACCGCCAGCUAAGGUCCCAAAUUACUACUAAGUGGGAAACGAUGUGGGAAGGCUCAGACAGCCAGGAUGUUGGCUUAGAAGCAGCCAUCAUUUAAAGAAAGCGUAAUAGCUCACUGGUCGAGUCGGCCUGCGCGGAAGAUGUAACGGGGCUAAGUAGUAAACCGAAGCUGCGGCAAUGCACUUUAGUGCAUUGGGUAGGGAGCGUUCUGUAAGCGGUUGAAGGUGUGUGGUAACGCAUGCUGGACGUAUCAGAAGUGCGAAUGCUGACAUGAGUAACGAUAAAGGGGUGAAAAACCUCCUCGCCGGAAGACCAAGGGUUCCUGUCCAACGUUAAUCGGGGCAGGGUAAGUCGACCCCUAAGGCGAGGCCGAAAGGCGUAGUCGAUGGGAAACGGGUUAAUAUUCCCGUACUUCUUACAAUUGCGAUGGGGGGACGGAGAAGGCUAGGUGGGCCUGGCGACGGUUGUCCAGGUUCAAGUGCGUAGGCUUAAGAGUUAGGUAAAUCCGGCUCUUUCUAAGGCUGAGACACGACGUCGAGCACCUACGGGUGUGAAGUCAUUGAUGCCAUGCUUCCAGGAAAAGCCUCUAAGCUUCAGAUUGUAAGGAAUCGUACCCCAAACCGACACAGGUGGUCGGGUAGAGAAUACCAAGGCGCUUGAGAGAACUCGGGUGAAGGAACUAGGCAAAAUGGUACCGUAACUUCGGGAGAAGGUACGCUCUCGACGGUGAAGUCCCUCGCGGAUGGAGCUAUUGAGAGUCGCAGAUACCAGGUGGCUGCAACUGUUUAUUAAAAACACAGCACUGUGCAAAAUCGUAAGAUGACGUAUACGGUGUGACGCCUGCCCGGUGCCGGAAGGUUAAUUGAUGGGGUUAGACUUCGGUCGAAGCUCUUGAUCGAAGCCCCGGUAAACGGCGGCCGUAACUAUAACGGUCCUAAGGUAGCGAAAUUCCUUGUCGGGUAAGUUCCGACCUGCACGAAUGGCGUAAUGAUGGCCACGCUGUCUCCACCCGAGACUCAGUGAAAUUGAAAUCGCUGUGAAGAUGCAGUGUACCCGCGGCUAGACGGAAAGACCCCGUGAACCUUUACUACAGCUUGGCACUGAACAUUGACCCUACAUGUGUAGGAUAGGUGGGAGGCUUUGAAGCACGUACGCCAGUAUGUGUGGAGCCGUCCUUGAAAUACCACCCUUGUAGUGUUGAUGUUCUAACGUCGACCCCUUAUCGGGGUUGCGGACAGUGCCUGGUGGGUAGUUUGACUGGGGCGGUCUCCUCCCAAAGAGUAACGGAGGAGCACGAAGGUGGGCUAAUCACGGUUGGACAUCGUGAGGUUAGUGCAAUGGCAUAAGCCCGCUUGACUGCGAGAAUGACAAUUCGAGCAGGUGCGAAAGCAGGUCAUAGUGAUCCGGUGGUUCUGAAUGGAAGGGCCAUCGCUCAACGGAUAAAAGGUACUCCGGGGAUAACAGGCUGAUACCGCCCAAGAGUUCAUAUCGACGGCGGUGUUUGGCACCUCGAUGUCGGCUCAUCACAUCCUGGGGCUGAAGUCGGUCCCAAGGGUAUGGCUGUUCGCCAUUUAAAGUGGUACGCGAGCUGGGUUUAGAACGUCGUGAGACAGUUCGGUCCCUAUCUGCCGUGGGCGUUGGAAGAUUGAAGGGGCUGCUCCUAGUACGAGAGGACCGGAGUGGACGAACCUCUGGUGUUCGGGUUGUGUCGCCAGACGCAUUGCCCGGUAGCUAAGUUCGGAAUCGAUAACCGCUGAAAGCAUCUAAGCGGGAAGCGAGCCCUGAGAUGAGUCUUCCCUGAUACUUUAAGUAUCCUAAAGGGUUGUCGGAGACUACGACGUUGAUAGGUCAGGUGUGUAAGUGCUGUGAGGCAUUGAGCUAACUGAUACUAAUUGCCCGUGAGGCUUAACCAU
rnacentral:rRNA from 1 species